ACCGCAGCUCCCGGCGCCGCGGGGUGGAAGGAGCUCGGCGGCGACCAGGAAAGCGACUCCGAGUUGGGGGGCGGGGGCGGGGGCUGCGGGAUUCCCGGGCUCACCUUGGACUAGGGGAGCAGGAACGAGACCGCUCAGGACCAUCCACUUCUGCCCGCCGCCAGCCUUUUCCUUUUUGAGGCCGUGUAAUUUCCUCCUUGCAGCUGAGGGUCUGGGUGAUGGGGAUGAGGGUGUGCCGGGCCAAAUGAAGUGUGACUCCAGAGCCUACUUGUUGGGACAGCAGAGUGUAAGUGGCUGGGGUCUGCAGCCCCGUUUCCAGGAAUAUAUUAUUCGAGUGCAAAGAGGAAUUUCUGUGGAAAACAGCUGGCAGAUUGUUAGAAGAUACAGUGACUUUGAUUUGCUUAACAACAGCUUACAGAUUGCAGGCCUAAGUCUACCUCUUCCUCCCAAAAAAUUGAUUGGUAACAUGGAUCGUGAAUUCAUAGCUGAAAGGCAGAAAGGUCUUCAGAACUAUCUCAACGUGAUCACAACAAAUCAUAUCUUGUCUAAUUGUGAGCUGGUUAAGAAGUUUUUAGAUCCAAAC
rnacentral:lncRNA from 1 species